UGAAUGAGGGAGAAAGCCUUCGGCUCUUUAGCUCGUAUGCUUUCUCAACAGACCAUCCUCCCAUUGAUUACAUGCAACUUUCAAUUGAUAUAGUGCACACUAUAGGAGGCUUGCCUCUAGCCUUGGAGGUUUUGGGUACUGAUUUAUCUAUGAAAAAAGUUAAAGAAGUAUGGAAAAGCAUGUAUCUUAUAUUGAAACAAAUUCCUCAUAGUGAUGUCUAUGGAAAAUUAAAGAUAAGUUAUGAUGAUUUGCAAGAUGAUAUCGAGAAAGCCAUGUUUCUUGAUGUUGCAUGCUUUUUCAUUGGAUGGGAGAAAGAAACUGUAAUUCACAUAUGGGAAGCUUGUGGCUUUGAACCGCGAUACCGCAUAGAAGUUUUAAAAAAAAAUUCCCUCUUAAAAAUUACUCAGUCGAAUACGUUGUGGAUGCACGAUCAAGUUCGAGACAUGGGAAGGGGAAUUGUUUACCAUCAAAGCCCUUUGGAACUUGGUAAACGUAGUAGAUUGUGGUCUCGUGAGGAUAGCAUGAAGUCAUUAAAGAGUGGUAAGGGGAAUGAAAUGGUUGAAGGUCUCCUCAAAUUCAGUCCAGAUGACAAAACUUGUUUCCAUACCAAAGGCUUUGAGAAGAUGCCCAAACUAAGAUUACUAGGACUUGAUGGAGCAAACUUGAAGGGGAGCUUUCAGUGUCUUCCUUCUGGGUUAAGAUGGCUCCAAUGGAGAUGUCCAUUGAAAAAUACCCACCAAUUUUUAUCAUGAAGACUUAGUCAUGCUCGACUUAACAUAUGGCUUGUUUAGACAAGCUUGGAAUAACUGGCCUUGGAGCAAUUGGCUUGGUGGAAAUAAGGUGUUUCAACAAUUGAAAGUUCUUCAACUUAGUAGUUGUUCGUAUCUGUCUGAGUCUCCCACCUUCUCAAGAUUUCCUCGCUUGCAGAGGUUGUAUCUUAAUCAUUGCAAGUCUUUGGUUAAUUUACAUGACUCCAUUGGGCAGCUCGAGGAGCUCGUUUACUUGAACUUGGAAUAUUGCACUUCUCUUAAGAAACUCCCAAACAGUAUAGGUAGGUUGAGAUCUCUCCAAAUAUUAAUUCUCAGUCAUUGCAUCUCCUUCAAGAAAUUGCCUCGAUCCAUUGGUGAUCUUAAAGAGUCUUUGAUUGAGCCUUUAUUGGAUGGAACCAAUAUUAAAGCAUUGCCAGAGAGUGUUGGAGAGUUAAAGAAGUUAGAGGUAUUGAAUCUUUACCACUGGAAUGAGCUUGUGAAGUUGCCAAGUUCAAUGGAGAAUAUGACGUCUCUGCGUUGCAUUCAUCUUGGUGAGAGUAACAAGCUUCAACGCAUACCAAAGCUACCUUCUUCUUUAAUUGAAUUUCGUAUUCAUUAUCAACUCCAAAAGCCAAGGGAUUAUGACACACUAAAGUUGACAUACAUGGAAAAGUUAGAGAGUCCUGGAGAUUAUUCUUUUAUUAGGUACAAGUCACACUACAUUCGUCUGCUUCCAACAGUUGGAGGCAUGACAAAGAGGAAAAAAAAAGUAAAGAGAGACCUAAUAUCAUGCUUCAAGGUAUCGGCCAAUACUACACAGAAAGGAGGUCGAUACUGCGCAAUAUCGGUGUCUACUGAACAUGUUUUCUAGUCGAUACCGUAUCAGUGUCUGCCGGGUUAACUCCUCCACCAUCGCUCGAGCCAUACUUGGAUGACAAAGGGCUUGAAUCCGAUUGUAGAAUGUAAUGCACUUUCUACACUGAUUCUAAUGCUUCGGUCUGAGGAUGCUGCUAUAUAUUAUGAGGUGGUAUAACUUCUAUCUGAUAUCUUACGUAUGGGGCUGAAUCAGUGUUAGACUUCGGUUUCUACAGUAAGUUUUUGUGUCUUUAACAUGUGGUGUCAUUGGUAAUCUGGUCCACUUUCCCCCCAACAUUAAGAAAGAAGUUCUCCUAGCUGGGGCCUUACAACCUGUAAUUGGACUUAGGUAUUUCUAAUUUUUGGAGGAUUUAUCAUCUUUGUGUGUUCUCAAGUUGGUUCAGCGAGACAUGGUCCAAUUAUUGUUGCUGUAUAGCUGCUAUUACUUAAGUUGCUGUGAACAAUGAUUUCCUUCUUUCAGAGAUUCUAAAUUUAUAUGUUUGAUGACAGCUCCUGCUGUUCGGAGAGCCAAAGGGAAGCAGCUUUGUUACUUGGGAUUUUCUACGACAGAUUCAUUUUGCAAGGAUUCGGUAAUCAGCAUUCCUUCCUAAAUUUCAAGGGAGGUUUCUGCUUCUGUAGUUUAAUUUUUCAU